rnacentral:rRNA from 1 species
AAGCUCGUAGUUGAAUUUCGGGCAUUGUGGUCAGGUCUUCCUUAAUUGGCUGUACUUGGUUCGCUUUGCCUUAUCUUCUAGAUGCUAACAUGCUUCGCGGUGUGUUAUGUGCUCUAGGACUUUUACUGUGAAUAAAUUAGAGUGUUCAAAGCAGGCUUACGCUUGAAUACAUUAGCAUGGAAUAAUAAAAUAGGACUUUGGUUUUAUUUUGUUGGUUUAAAACCAGGUAAUGAUUAAUAGGGAUAGUUGGG